AUACGGAGGGGGCUAGCGUUGUUCGGAAUUACUGGGCGUAAAGCGUACGCAGGCUGACCAUUAAGUUAGAGGUGAAAUCCCAGGGCUCAACCCUGGAACUGCCUUUAAAACUGCUGGUCUGGAGUUAUGGAGAGGUAAGUGGAAUUCCUAGUGUAGAGGUGAAAUUCGUAGAUAUUAGGAGGAACACCAGAGGCGAAGGCGGCUUACUGGACAUAUACUGACGCUGAGGUACGAAAGUGUGGAAAGCAAACGGGAUUAGAAACCCCUGUAGUCC
rnacentral:rRNA from 1 species